rnacentral:rRNA from 1 species
GUUGACCUCGGAUCAGGUAGGAAUACCCGCUGAUCUUAA